AGGAGAAGUCGUAACAAGGUUUCCGUAGGUGAACCUGCGGAAGGAUCAUUGUCGAAAUCGAACGGAAGAAAGACCCGCGAACCGUCUUUGCGAACCGAACAGAGCCCGCGAGCACCUAACGCUCGUGCGUCUCGCGUCGCGUCGGCGCGGGGCCUCUCGAAGGGCCCGCGCCGCUCCGACAAACGAACAACGUCAGCACGGAUCGUGCCAAGGAGCUGUAAAAGGCGGGAUUCGCCGUCCCACGGCCCCGGUCCAACUCGACGGGGGGCGGGGGACAUGCGCGAUCUCUGCUCUUAGUCUUAAUGACUCUCGGCAACGGAUAUCUCGGCUCUUGCAUCGAUGAAGAACGUAGCGAAAUGCGAUACUUGGUGUGAAUUGCAGAAUCCCGCGAACCAUCAAUUCUUUGAACGAAUCCCCUUGCCCCCGGGCACCCGCGCGGUCAUCGUCGCGGUUAUGCCCGGGCGCAGAAUAUGGUCUCCCGACGGGCCGGCGUGCACGGCACGCCGCGGUGCGGUUGGCCGAAAAUCGAGCGUUGCGAGGUCGGGCUCCACGGCGUUCGGUGGAUCGAACGCGAUUGGCUGCGCCGUGGUCCCGUCAUGCCGCAGGCUCCGGACUACGACGAUUCUCGAGUGCGAUCCCAGGUCAGGCGGGGCUACCCGCUGAGUUUAAGCAUAUCAAUAAGCGGAGGAAAAGAAACUAACGAGGAUUCCCUUAGUAGCGGCGAGCGAACCGGGACGAGCCCAGCGUGAAAAUCGUCCGCCCUCGGCGGCCGAAUUGUAGUCUGGAGAAGCGUCCUCAGUGACGGACCGGGCCCAAGUUCACUGGAAGGUGGCGCC
rnacentral:rRNA from 1 species